CCUACGGGAGGCAGCAGUGAGGAAUAUUGGUCAAUGGACGAGAGUCUGAACCAGCCAAGUCGCGUGAAGGAUGACUGCCCUAUGGGUUGUAAACUUCUUUUAUAAAGGAAUAAAACGAGGCACGUGUGCCUUUUUGCAAGUACUUUAUGAAUAAGGAUCGGCUAACUCCGUGCCAGCAGCCGCGGUAAUACGGAGGAUCCGAGCGUUAUCCGGAUUUAUUGGGUUUAAAGGGCGCGUAGGUGGGUUGUUAAGUCAGUGGUGAAAGUUUGAGGCUCAACCGUAAAAUUGCAAUUGAUACUGGCAGUCUUGAGGAUAGUUGAGGUAGGCGGAAUGUGUGGUGUAGCGGUGAAAUGCUUAGAUAUCACGAAGAACCCCGAUUGCGAAGGCAGCUUACUAAGCUGUGACUGACGUUGAUGCUCGAAAGUGUGGGUAUCAAACAGGAUUAGACACCCUAGUAGUC
rnacentral:rRNA from 1 species